UACGAAGGGGGCUAGCGUUGCUCGGAAUCACUGGGCGUAAAGGGUGCGUAGGCGGGUUUUUAAGUCAGAGGUGAAAUCCUGGAGCUCAACUCCAGAACUGCCUUUGAUACUGAAAGUCUUGAGUAUGGGAGAGGUGAGUGGAACUGCGAGUGUAGAGGUGAAAUUCGUAGAUAUUCGCAAGAACACCAGUGGCGAAGGCGGCUCACUGGCCCAUUACUGACGCUGAGGCACGGAAAGCGUGGGGAGCAACAGG
rnacentral:rRNA from 1 species